rnacentral:pre_miRNA from 1 species
CGCGCACUCCCUCACUAACGCCCCGCUUUUGUCUGUUGGAAGCAGCUAGGCGCGACUGAGAGAGCACGCG